rnacentral:rRNA from 1 species
GACGAACGCUGGCGGCGUGCCUAAUACAUGCAAGUUGAGCGCUGAAGGUUGGUACUUGUACCGACUGGAUGAGCAGCGAACGGGUGAGUAACGCGUGGGGAAUCUGCCUUUGAGCGGGGGACAACAUUUGGAAACGAAUGCUAAUACCGCAUAAAAACUUUAAACACAAGUUUUAAGUUUGAAAGAUGCAAUUGCAUCACUCAAAGAUGAUCCCGCGUUGUAUUAGCUAGUUGGUGAGGUAAAGGCUCACCAAGGCGAUGAUACAUAGCCGACCUGAGAGGGUGAGAGGCCAAGUUGGGACUGAGACACGGCCCAAAAUCCUACGGGAGGCAGCAGUAGGGAAUCUUCGGCAAUAGACGAAAGUCUGACCGAGCAACGCCGCGUGAGUGAAGAAGGUUUUCGGAUCGUAAAACUCUGUUGGUAGAGAAGAACGUUGGUGAGAGUGGAAAGCUCAUAAAGUGACGGUAACUACCCAGAAAGGGACGGCUAACUACGUG